CAGCAGCCGCGGGAAUACGAAGGGGGCUAGCGUUGUUCGGAUUUACUGGGCGUAAAGCGCACGUAGGCGGACUUUUAAGUCAGGGGUGAAAUCCCGAGGCUCAACCUCGGAACUGCCUUUGAUACUGGGUUUCUUGAGUCCGGAAGAGGUGAGUGGAACUGCGAGUGUAGAGGUGAAAUUCGUAGAUAUUCGCAAGAACACCAGUGGCGAAGGCGGCUCACUGGUCCGGAACUGACGCUGAGGUGCGAAAGCGUGGGGAGCAAACAGGAUUAGAUACCCCUGUAGUCCCUGUCUCUUAUAC
rnacentral:rRNA from 1 species